rnacentral:lncRNA from 1 species
GGCCAAGUGGUUAAGUUCACAUGCUCUGCUGCGGUGGCCCAGGGUUCAGAUCCUGGGCGGGGACAUGGCACUGCUCAUCAGGUCACGUUGAGGCAGCGUCCCACAUCCCACAACUAAGACAUACAACUAUGUACGGGGGCGUUUGGGGAGAUAAAGCAGAAGAAAAAAAAAAAAGAUUGGCAACAGUUGUUAGCUCAGGUGCCAAUCUUUAAAAAAAAAAAAUCAUUUUUAUGAAGUGGUGUUUUGCUUUAGGUAUCCUAGGCCUCAGGAUGGGGAUUAUCCUGAGAUGGCAUCCUAAGACCUCAUGUUAGCACCUGCUGGGAGACUUUUCUUGCCAAACUUACACAGGAGCUCUGUUCAACAAAGAGCAAAUCAAACAAGCACUGGAAAAGAGCCGAAGUCCUGAUGAGGGAAGAACUCUCCUCCAGCUGCUGGAGGGAGCAAGCAAUAUCACUGACACUGGGAGAAGCACUGCUGUGAACAGCCAGCCCUACGAAGAGGAACUGAAGCCUCCUGCGACAGCCAUGUGAGUGAGAUUGGAGGUUGAAAAUUGGCCCAAGCAAGUUUUCAGGGAUGUAGCCGCAGCUGAUGGCUUGCAUGAGACCUCAGGAGAGAGCCCGAGCCAGAACCACCAUGCUAAGCCUUUCCUGGCUUCCUGACCCUCAAAAACUGUCUGAGAAAAUACAUGGUUGUCGUUGUAAGCUGCUAAAUUUGGGGAGGAUUUGUCACACAGCAAAUAUAACUAUGACACCUGGUUAAAAUGAGUAACUACUGCUUCUUUACCAAUUACAUGUUCAUUCCCAGUUCAUUACUCUCACCUUCUUGAUAAAUGUUAUCUUGAUGUGUUAUCUUGAUAAUGUUGUUCUUGAUAAAUGUUAUUAAAGUUCUCAAUCAUAGACUUACCUCUGCUUCCUGACAGCAUCGAGCCCAGAGCAAAGCCCCCCUUCCUUAAACCCUCCCUAGACUCACCUAACACAGGCCCAAAUCUUAGAAUAAGUUUUUCCUAACACUCGUAUUGAAAUGGCUCAUGGUUCUUAACAGUGUGCGCUCUCUUGUUGCAUCAUGUAAAUAAACCCAAACCUUUGUUUGAUUAUGGGUGUCUUCCUGGUGACUUAGACUAAAGGUGUCAGCAGUAGUUUGAAGAGGUAUUGGGCAGCAGACUUUCUGUGCUGUGC